rnacentral:rRNA from 1 species
UACGGGGGGGGCAAGCGUUGUUCGGAAUUACUGGGCGUAAAGGGUUCGUAGGUGGCGUGCUAAGUCAGACGUGAAAUCCCUCAGCUUAACUGGGGAACUGCGUCUGAGACUGGCAGGCUCGAGUGCAGGAGAGGAACGCGGAAUUCCAGGUGUAGCGGCGAAAUGCGUAGAUAUCUGGAGGAACACCGGUGGCGAAGGCGGCGUUCUGGACUGCAACUGACACUGAUGAACGAAAGCCAGGGGAGCAAACGGG